rnacentral:lncRNA from 1 species
AGCCUCCUUGCCAACUCCUACUCAGACUUCACACUAGGUAAUUCCAUUGAAGGACAGAUGCUUUCUUUUACAUCAGCAGAGAAAGCUGGAGGAAAAGUCAAAUUGUUAGGUGAAAUCCUAAAGACCAUGAUGCAAAACAGAAGAGUAAUCUUUAUUUUGGAAGCUAUGCAAAUCAGCCUUGCCUGAGAAUCUGUGGCCCAUUAGCAAGUAACACGGUAUGAAAUGCCACUGAGCAAAGCUGUGUUCACCACCACAAAAUGAAAGAGCGAGAUGACAGAUUCAUAACAUGAAGAACAAGAAUCAGG